rnacentral:lncRNA from 10 species
AUUCUGUCCACUUCGUAUAUUAGAAGCUGCCCCAUGAAAAUUUGCAUAUGUAUCAUCAUACUUGGUAAUCAGCACUAAUCAUUACUUAAUCUGAUAAUAAGAUGGGAAUUUGCACCUGAAGGAGUCUUGUUGGGGAUUGAUUGAAGUCAAAUAACUUGUUAAUUAUUAGUUAUAUUAAUGCUGAAGGCUGCACAUCACAUGGAAUUCUGGACUUCAGGAUGGACAUGGUUAAUGGGUGUGACCUGGGAACUGUGUCCUGUGGGAUAGAGUAAGUGCAUUUCAUUUAGAGUGAAUUGAGGGGGAAGAGAUAAGGAUACACACACAUACACAUACACACAUAUAUAUACAACACACAUAUGUUAAAAAGUAUUAAGUGAAUUGAGGCAGAAGUGAGAAAGAUACACAUAUAGAUAGUUAUACAUACAUAUAUAAAUAUAAACAUAUAUAUAUAUAUACACACACAUACAACACAUAUAUAUUAAAUAGUUAAAAGGGUGGCUUACAGAUUCUGAAUUACAGAAUCAAAAGCCAUUAACAGUCAUCUUCUCUGUUUUCUUCUAAUAGAAUACAGCCUGGAAAGCUUGAAUUCUAGAUUCCUCAGUCUGUUUCAGUUAGGAGAGACCACAUGACAGAGCUCUGUAUAAGGAGGUGGAGUUGCUGUUCAAAAGGGAAGUUGCUAGAAAGAUACCAGUUGAAGGAAUAAGAGAAAGGAACUAAAUCCUUGGCACUCACAGUUGGUAUAGAGGAAAAAUUUGAAUGUUAAAUUAGGUUUUGAAUGAAUAUUUGAAUAACAAAUGAUGGAAAGAAGAAAAGAGGGAAGGAAUCAAAGAAGAAGGAAGAAAAGAAUUGGAAAGAAGAAAGCAAAGGAUUAUAAUAAAUAAAAAAAAGAAAGAAAAAAAAAGGAUUAAUUUCUUUCCACAAUUUGCUCUUCAAUAUUCCUCAUUGCCCACAAUAUUUUUCACCCACCCUGUUUAGCUCAAGAUGAUGACAUGAUAAAAUAUGUGUCUAUAAUCUUCUUAAACUAGAGAGCUAAGCAAUAUAGGCAAUAUUUAUUUUUGUAUGCAACAUAAAACCAGAACUGAAGAUUUUGUGGCAGACUUUGAGAUUGAGAUAAAAGCUGACUGUGCCUUCUGAAAUUUUUUAAAACAAAUUUGUGAUUAAUUUUUAUGAAAGAUUAGGUAACACCUAAAUAUUUUAUUAGGUAUCCCAUCAUGUGUUAAAUGUCUUUAUCAUAGUCAAUGUGAGAAUCAAGUCUAGGCCACCAUAUCAACCUUCUUGUCAAUGCUUUCAUGCAGAUAAUCCCUGGAUAUGCUAGAAGUGAGAGGUCAUGAAAACCAUUUUCUGGAAUGAGAUUAUUAUUUCUCAUAUGAAAAUACAUCACUUAUGGGUAGAUUUUUCAAGUUGCUGCCUUCUGAAUGGCUAUGUCUUCUCCGCUGGUUUAAUCUUAGUCACCUCCUCUGCAAUGAGUUGAAGACAUGCUUUGCUUUUGGAUCCUGUAUAGUUGAUGAUGACACAUGGAAAAUCAACAAACUCCUUUAAAAUUUGUAGUUCCUAAGAAGGUGGCACAAUAUGCGUAAUUCCAACUCUGCAGUAGGAAAGCUUAAAGUGUCCUUGUUUUAAAUUGGUAUUCCACAUCUGUAGACAAGUGAGGAACCAAACAUUGUAGGGCUAUAUAUACCACAAUACAGUUGAAAAUAUAAGCUUAGCCUUAGUAAAGAGAAAAAAAAAAUGGAGUCUAAUGACUAAGUCAACAAGUGGGUAGACAGACCUUUCUUUUUGUUUUUUCUUUCAGCAUAAAGUUUUAGUUUUAAAUAUUAAUUUCAUCUCAGUUGUCCUAUUUAAGAAAAUGAAGUAAUGCCUCCCUUUUAAAUAUCAUGGUAAAAAUCUUUGUUAACAUUUCUAAAUUCUGAGGAGAAAAUUUAAUAGAAUUAUUAUAAAGGGCAAUGAUACAGAGAUAGAUAAGAAUCCUCAGGCAGACUUUGGAGAAAACAGCUCUAAAGGUGGAGAGGAGAGAGAGAGAGUACAACGUUUCAGCCUUUUAAGCCUACAAAAUUAGCAUCCUAAUCAUAUUGCACUUAUUUCCAUUUUUCAGUCAUAUGGGCCCUUUACCUUACUUUUAUCGACGUAAAUUCAUGUUUUAAUUGUUGAUUUUGUUAAUUACAGACUGUAUUGGCUGUCUUCCUUUGCAUGAAUUUUCUUCAUGAGUUUUAGAAUUUGGCUUUGCGGGGUCAUUUUGAGUAGCAGUAUUUUUGUUAAUUUGGUUUGGUUUGAUUUAGAUUUUGAUUUGGUUUUCUUUUUUUCUUAUCUUGGCUUAGUUCUUGGUCACAAGAUGGUUCUUUGUCCUCCUGUCUCCCUAAGCCUGUAGUUUGCAUAAAGCCGUACUUUGGAUAGCCUGAAUUCUAGCUUCCUUCAUGAGCUCAGAGCCCUUGGUAUCCCCUGCUUCAAAAAGCAAGACUUGGACACAGAAACUGAGACCCUACUCUUACUGCCAGCUUCUGACUCAGGAACCAAAAAGUAAUUUACUUUCAGCUGUACUUUUCAAUUUGAAUUUAUGGGUUUUGUUGUUGUUGUUGUUGUUUGUUUUCUGGUCUAAGAAGAUAUCGGUUCACUUUUGAGUCAGGCUUUGUGUUGCUGUUUUUGUUGUUGUUGUUGUUUGUUUUUUUCUUUUUAUAUUUUAUCUUUCCCCAUUAAAUGUUUAGAACACAGGCUUGCUUCAAAAUAGCUACUGAAAAAGCCAUCAUGACUGGGUGUCUUAGGGCUCUUUAAUGUUGAAUAAUAGACUGAAAAUAGGUUAAACAUCCUAUUAUGACUCAAUUGUUCUCUAAUUUUAAUAUGUCCAAGGGUCACUACAGGACUUGGUUACAAAGCAGGUCCCCAAACUCCACCUUUAGAGAUUCUCAUUCAGUGUGGUUGGCGGUAGGGUGGUGCCUUAGGCAUCUACAGUUUUAAUAAUUCAUUUAACUGAUGUGGCCUGUUCCGACAGGGGUUAGUUGAUAGAGUCUCAGAAACAAAUAGCUAGAGUUCAUUACAAUUCAAACAUGAAGAGGAUUGGUUAUGCUGACAGACAGCUCUGUUUUUGUGUUUGGGGAAGCUAUUUGUGUGACCCUCCAAGAUUCAGACCAUCUUGUGAAUAAAGGGAAACAACAGACCCUAAUGAAUGAGAAUUCAUUGCAAUCCACAGAAAGGAACACAGCCAGUCAUUCAGUUGAGUUCUAUGUAGGGUGGCAGGAAGGAAAUUUCAAAUCAGAGAUCUAUCACAAAGGAAAAAAAAUAGGUUUAAUAUAAUGUUUCCUAUUAAUUAAACAUUUUAACAUAACUUUGUAGCAAGAGCAUUUGUCCUAUAGUCCAGAAAUUCCCAUGAGUACUAAGAAAGGCCAAAAGGGAAUAUGCCACUCAACAAUAUUCUGUGAAAUAAUCACCUGUGGGAAUUCAUGAAAAAAUGGAUUAAAGUAUUAAAUUUAUACUGAAAAUAACAUGGCUAAUAAGUGGCUUAAUGACAAUGAUAUGAAACAAUGAAAAAACUGUAGAUGGCAGGCAGCUGAUGAAUUCCUAACUGUAUUGAUGUGGAAGUUCUUAACAGCAAGAAAAUGGCAAAGCCUUCUUUACUUAUUUGCAUGUCACUCCAUUUUUGAAUUAGAAAAUGAGUGAGUAACUAGUAUCUCAGGAUCUUCUGAUUUGCAGUAGCUAAACAGAGUCAAUUCCAUACUAUGAGGCAUUAUGCAAAGGAAUAGUAUUUAAGCUUAGGACUUGAAAAUUAUAUUUUUCUGUAUGAGUGUGGGGAUGUGGGCGGAUCCCUUUUCCAAAAAAUGUGUCAAAAUUGAGAAAGUUAUGAUCAUUACUUUGCAAAAUAGACAUUAACUGCUAUAAAAAUUUCUCUUUGCCUACUCGUCUCUAAAUCAUUUUAAUAUAUGGGAUAAAAGGACCAAAACUUGCUUGCUUUUUCUACUGUGAUCUUUAAAUGGAUCAGGCUUAGUGGUUUGCCAUCAGAUUGUAAAAAAUUAAAACAGCUCCUCUAUACAUUCAGCUAGAAUUUCCACUGGGGCAUAGAUAUACUUCUUAUGAACAUAUCUGUGACCCUUUCAUAGAAAUUUAUACUGGAAAAUUCAGAACAACAGGUGUUUUAGAACAUGUGUUUACAUUUUCAGUUUGAAAUAAUGCCAGCUAAAAGAGAAACUGAAGAUAAAUAUCUGUAAAAGGAAUAUCUGACUGAAAGAAAGGGUUUAUAUAGUGCCUAAGUGGGAGAAUUUCCAUUGAUAGAAAUAAUGUAGUUUGAUGAGUACCCUUCAGGAAUAUGCAGUCAAGAAAAUCAUACAAGAUCACAAACUUUUAGUAAAGUCAGCACAGUGCUUCAAACUAGCAAAUUUACCUAAAGUGUUAGGAAAUUUACAUCAACUUUUACUAGUAAAAUACUGCUUACAUUGCAAUAUUUCUUUUUCUAAGACCAGCAAUAUCUGUCUAAUAACUGUCAUCCAUUUUUUAUAAAUGUAGCUAGGUACUGUAAAAAUGUCUCCUGAUUAACUAAGGAGGUGAAAAAUCAAAUUAGGAAAUAUAGCAUAUCUUUUGAGAUAUGGGUUUGAAAACUAUGGUGUCAAUAUGUAAUAUGUAAACAUUCCUGAA